UUUUCCCAUCAUAUCAUCCUAAGAAUACCCAAACUCAUCUGAUCUCAGAAGCUAAGCAGGUUUGGUUCGAUUUAGUACUUGGUUAGGAGACGUCUGGGAAUUCCCGGUGCCACAGUGAGGC
rnacentral:rRNA from 1 species